CGGCGGACGGGUGAGUAACGCGUGGGUAACCUGCCUCAUACAGGGGGAUAACAGUUGGAAACGGCUGCUAAUACCGCAUAAGCGCACAGUACCGCAUGGUACGGUGUAGAAAACUCCGGUGGUAUGAGAUGGACCCGCGUCUGAUUAGGUAGUUGGUGGGGUAACGGCCUACCAAGCCGACGAUCAGUAGCCGACCUGAGAGGGUGACCGGCCACAUUGGGACUGAGACACGGCCCAA
rnacentral:rRNA from 1 species